GACGAACCGUGCGAACGUUGUUCGGAAUCACUGGGCUUAAAGGGUGCGUAGGCGGGCUGUCAAGUCCGGGGUGAAAGCCCUCCGCUCAACGGGGGAAUGGCCUUGGAUACUGGCGGUCUGGAGGAAGGUAGGGGCGUGCGGAACUCUCGGUGGAGCGGUGAAAUGCGUAGAUAUCGGGAGGAACGCCGGUGGCGAAAGCGGCACGCUGGACCUUUUCUGACGCUGAGGCACGAAAGCCAGGGGAGCGAACGGG
rnacentral:rRNA from 1 species